UACGUAGGUGACCAGCGUUGUCCGGAUUUACUGGGCGUAAAGAGCGCGCAGGCGGUCGUUCAAGUCGAGUGUGAAAGCCCCCGGCUCAACUGGGGAGGGUCACUCGAUACUGAUCGACUGGAAGGCAGGAGAGGGAAGCGGAAUUCCCGGUGUAGUGGUGAAAUGCGUAGAUAUCAGGAAGAACACCCGUGGCGAAGGCGGCUCUCUGGGACGGUACUGACGCUGAGACGCGAAAGCGUGGGGAGCGAACAGG
rnacentral:rRNA from 1 species